CAAGUGCCUCUUCAGAGGAGGAUUCUAAGUCAUGAUCUCAGGGUCCCGGGAUCAGAUGGGAAGAGCGGCUUGACUGGGACAAUGCUUCGGUGUGGCUGCUGUCGGCUCCCUUUUCUCAACAGACCAUUACUUUGCCUGGAAUACUGUAAUAAACAUUCACAUGGGACCUGUAAAAAAAUGCUGGAAAAGAAACAGAAUGAAGUAGAAGAUGUGUAUUACAGAUGAAGAGCACACUUCAGAAGAACAAAAUUUUACAUAAUUGCCUUGAUUCCCAAAGAGAUUAAGGAAAUUAUGAGCUCAGCAAAGUAAGAAAAGACCAUAUAAAAUAAUCCUAUCUCUGACCCAUCAUAUAAUCUUGACUGGAACAAAAAAAUAAAAUCUCUUGUGUGUAUUUUUUUUAAUGUAAGCUCUAUACGCAACA